GCAGACACUAGUGUGCUGGAAGGAUUACCACCUGAUUCAGCUGAGGCUCAAGCUCGUAUUACAGAAAUCAAGAAUGAUGAUGGUUUUAACUGGGGGUAGUUUGUGAUACGUAAGUUACUCAAUUCAUUUUGAAGCAGUCACCUUCAUCACAUGCUUCCUGUUUUGUGAAGGUAUAAUCAUGUGCUUUGGGGAGUCCCAAAAGGAAGCUACGCUAGUGAUCCGACUGGUCCAUGCGUAUAAUUGAGUUUAGAAAAAUGGUUCAGGUUUGCAUUUUUCCACUGCUCCUAGUGAUUUGCAACGCUAAUAAGCUCAUUUAAAAGCCAAAUUUUGUAGUGAAUCAUACAAGGUGUCAAUGAUUUCAUGAUUUAUUUUGGCAGGCUCUUAAUUUUAUCGGUCUUAAUGUCGUCUUAGACGUUGUUUACAACCACUUGCAUGCAAAUGGGCCACACGACAAAGACUCUGUUCUUGAUAAGAUAGUUCCAGGUUACGAUUUGAGAAGGAACAAUGAUGGUUUUAUUGAAAACAGUACAUGCGUAAACAACACUGCUAGCGAGCAUUAUAUGGUCGAUCGUCUGAUACGAGAUGAUCUAUUAAACUGGGUUGUUAAUUAUAAGGUUGAUGGUUUUCGUUUUGAUCUCAUGGGUCAUAUUAUGAAAGAUACAAUGGUAAGCCUCUCUCCUACUCCUCUAAGGGUUAUCCUUUAGUGUCCUUUCAGUUAUGGUUUCAUUAGGUUCUGUUGUGAU